rnacentral:lncRNA from 1 species
CAUGAGAUGAGUUGGCUUACAUCUGUAUCAUCAAAUAUCUAAGAUCAUGCAUCAAAAGGGAUAACAAUACUCAUAGGGUCAAGCACCUCUAUAACCUCAAUAUACCUCAUUACAUAACAUACUGAAAUCUCUUACAUAACAUUAUAAUACAACUGUCAUGUCCACAAUCUAACUAUUACAUACAUACUUCAAAACUCUGGCUAACCUCCUGGUCUACCCUGUACCUGCACAUCUGGGGUUAGGGGAGAGGGGUGAGCUACAAAGCCCAGUGAGCAGAAUAAUGAAAUCAUAUAUUAAAAUUUCAUGCUAUCAUGAAAUGCAACACAUCACAGCUAAUCACAUCUCGGAUGGUAUUGUCACCAAUAGUCCUCUACCUAGUCCAACUGUGCCGGGACGUAGAAUGGGUACAACCGGUCUUUCUCUUAUCAUAACAUAUCAUAACAUACCAAUGUGCCAGGGACGUAGAAUGGGUACAACCUGGACUUUCUCUUACAUCGUGCCAGGGACGUAGAAUGGGUACAACCUGGACUUCCAUACCAUCUCAUGCCAUAACCUCAUCAUAUCAUAUGAGGACUAAAGGAUCAUCCAAUAACCAAUCCACAUCAACAUUAUAAAUGCAAUGCAACAUAUUCGUGAAUACUAAUGCAACAACCUACUAUAUCUCAUGGCAUUCGUGAUGCAUGGAUCAUGCUCGAAAUUUAUAUUUCAAUUAUUUUAAAACUUAAAGUUUAUUCCACUCACCUCUGGCUAGCUCUGACAAACUCUGUAGCAGCUGGCUCACUGCUGGGGUCC